UUGAACGCUGGCGGCAUGCUUUACACAUGCAAGUCGAACGGUAGACCCUUUCGGGGGUUGAGAGUGGCGAACGGGUGAGUAAUGCAUCGGAACAUACCCAGUCGUGGGGGAUAACGUAGCGACAGUUACGCUAAUACCGCAUGAGUCCUGAGGGAGAAAGCGGGGGAUCGCAAGACCUCGCGCGAUUGGAGUGGCCGAUGUCCGAUUAGCUAGUUGGUGGGGUAAAGGCCUACCAAGGCGACGAUCUGUAGCGGGUCUGAGAGGAGGAUCCGCCACACUGGGACGGAGACACGGCCCAGACGCCUACGGGAGGCAGCAGUGGGGAAUUUUGGACAAUGGGCGCAAGCCUGAUCCAGCCAGGCCGCGUGCGGGACGAAGGCCGUCGGGUUGUAAACCGCUUUCAGCCGGAAAGAAAGCGUCAAGGCUAAUAUCCUUGAUGGAUGACGGUACCGGAAGAAGAAGCACCGGCUAACUACGU
rnacentral:rRNA from 1 species